AACAUCGCGCACCUGCGGGAACCUGCGGAGGAUCAUUACAGAGUUGCAAAACUCCCUAAACCAUUGUGAACGUUACCUAAACCGUUGCUUCGGCGGGCGGCCCGGGUCCUUCCCGGCGCCCCUCGGCCCUCGCGGGCGCCCGCCGGAGGUAAACCAAACUAUUGCAUUGUAUGGCCUCUCUGAGUCUUCUGUACUGAAUAAGUCAAAACUUUCAACAAUGGAUCUCAGAUCGGAAGAGCA
rnacentral:misc_RNA from 1 species